rnacentral:tRNA from 1 species
GACCCAGUAGCCUAGUCUGGAUAAGGUACUGGCCUUCUAAGCCAGGGAUCGGGGGUUCGAAUCCCUCCUGGGUCA